UACAGAGGUCUCGAGCGUUAGGCGGAAUCACUGGGCUUAAAGGGUGCGUAGGCGGGUCUUUAAGUCAGGGGUGAAAUCCUGGAGCUCAACUCCAGAACUGCCUUUGAUACUGAAGAUCUUGAGUUCGGGAGAGGUGAGUGGAACUGCGAGUGUAGAGGUGAAAUUCGUAGAUAUUCGCAAGAACACCAGUGGCGAAGGCGGCUCACUGGCCCGAUACUGACGCUGAGGCACGAAAGCGUGGGGAGCAAACAGG
rnacentral:rRNA from 1 species